rnacentral:lncRNA from 1 species
CGCGUCAUCAGCGUUUCUGUGGGCGACGAUCGGAUCAGAAACGCGCGCGGCGGGGGAGGGCGGUGCGGGACGAGGCCCGCAGCUCUUACUGGACGCCCGCCGUCAAAUCACAGCGUGAGUGCAAAAUCGAUACGUCGUCAAUCCCUCGCCGAGACUGGAGACGUUUCAUCUCCUCCUCGCUCUCGUGGCAGGAUAAUUAUUUGUAUUUAUGCACCGCUGUGUAAUUGGAGCCGUGUGUCUGGGGUUGGUGAACAGGGAGCCGCGCAUAUUCAAACUGACAAUUAUGAGAUAUUAUGAAAUUAUCUAUAAACUCAAAUGCACUUCUGGCAAUUAUUCUGUGUUCCUGCCUGCUCAGCUAAUGAUCAGGUCCCGGAUCAUGAUCGACUAGUGUGUCAAGGAGCAGCAGCGGCCUUCCGUGCUGCCUGAGCAUCAUUUGCUGCUGUAUAUCGAGUCUCCUCGUUCUCUGCUCGUCUACCUGUUUGUUUAAAUCCAUUUAUUUUGCCUAAUUGCGCCGUCCCGCCGCGUCUCUGUUCGCGUUCUCCUCGUUUCCUGACCCCCCCCCCCUCACCUUUGCCCCCUCCCGCCUCCCCGCUGACAGCUGGAUUACCAUGUAUCCACGCGGCGCCAGAGGCCCAAACAACAUCGCGCUUCGCCUCGCGCUUGGCCGCUGCAGCACCACGGAGGCCAAAAGUGGAGGACAGCGAGUACAAAAGAGGCAACCGGAGACAAGGUGUCGAGGGGUCGAUGCCUCUGUAUGCGAACUGGUGCUGUGGAAGGUGGGCAGGUGUUGACGGGUGGUCUUCAGAUACAGGGAUGAGACUCGUGUUCAUGACACGCCUGUACAGAUUUAAAAGUUUUAUAUUUACCCCGUGUUUAUUGCUGUAGUGCCGGAGCACAGCUAGCAUACACAAAUAUACUUAGCAGCGCUUCUCUCCCCGCGGACACAUAUUGAGCAGAACCAAAACAAGUGGUGGUGCUGGUGAAAGCCCCGAGGCAGCGCCAGACAAACAAGGAGAGCGGCGUCUGCGGCAUACUGAGCGGGCCUUGGGCCUGGGCCCGGGCUCGCGUCUAAUUAUUAACAAUAAAUAUCUGAGGCGGUGUGAUGUGGUGGACGGC